CAAGCCGUCCGAGCCCCCCCUUGCGUUUUCUCCACCUCUAGGUUGCCAAACCUGUAGCGCCGCCGCCGAUGCACCUCUGUUGCCCGAGCAAGGAGCAGCAACUCCUUUAGCCUCGCGCCGCCGUCGACCCGCCCUUCUCGUCGGCCGCGCCCCAUGCUAGCAGGUGGAUGGAGGCAUGGAGCCUCGUCAUCGUCAAGGGGACGAGGGUAGCAGCAGUCGCAGCAGGUGGCGAUGGUGGUGAAAGCGUCGGAUGUGGGCUGCUUCAGCGGGAAUGGCGCAAGGCCACCGCUUCUUCUACUGCGGCGCUUCAAAACGGCGUCUCUGCAGGUAUGCUAGCGCCUCCUCUUCUCUUGUUUCUUACUGAUGCAAACCGGAAAUGGGUAAAUAUGGAGAUUAGCCAAUGAGAUAUGGUUGUUAAAUUUGUCUUUUGUGGUACAUUUUUUUGAGGGAAUCGGUGAUGACGCAAGGAACUAAGACCUUCAGUGAGACGGUCUUGGGUGUAUUAGCAAAAUUUGUUCAUUGGAUAGAGCUUUGAAUAGAUUAGCCAUCCUCCUCUCUAUUUACAUUCAUGUGCAGCAUGGGUGGUGUUGCAGCGCCUCUAGGUUGCCUGAGGUGGGGGAUACCUGACCCACCUCCUCCUUGUUUCUAUAGAUCUUUCGCCAAAGAAGGUUGCAAAGAUAUCAAUCUAGAAGAAGAAUGAGGGAGGAUUGGGAAUGUUGUGUAAUUUGUAUUGCUAACUUAGAUGGGAUUACAGUUCAUUGGUUUCAUUAUUUGGUCAUGUCUAAUUUUGCUAGCUAAGAUGCUAGCCCCUAUGCUAAACAAUGUUACAUUUUGACGCAUCUAGACCAUCCUUGUUGCAACCCUCACCUCAGCUGCUAAUGGUACCAAUUGUGCUGCUGGCCGGGGUUGUUGUUUUUGGUUGUUGAGAAGGAUGCUACCAGUUAUGUCUUUGUUUGUGCAAACUUUAUGAUUAGCAGGUACAGUGAGCACCCUUCAGAACCUUUUGUUUCUUCUUUGCUCAAGUUACAUUACGUAUCAAGAUGUGAGUUACUAAAUGUUCAUGUAUGUAUCAUGGAUGGACACUACCUCUUGUAUUGUUGAUUGGUUUGCAGGCUUAAUGGUUCUAGUUCAGGUAGAAGAGCUCCAGCCUUAGAAGAUUUCUGGGAGAAUCGAAAGCACUUGCCUUUGGAAUUAAAGAAGAUCAGUUUAUGACACUGACAUCCAGAGAUCAUAACAAGGGAUUUCAGGGCUAGCAAAUAUGCUAAACAUAAAUACAGAGAAGGCAAUCAGUGCAGUGGAUUUCCGAUAUUGAUGCGAGAAAAAUGCCUUUGGAUCAAAGCCCACUAAGGACAGCGCGACGACUGUGCCGCACGUGAAGAGCAUGGUCAUGUCAUGGGACCACACAUCUGUGGUGGUCCGCUUGCCUUCUAUGGCGUCCAACACGACUACACCCUUUUACUCGGCCUGUUGUAAGAUAUGGUUCCCCGCCUAAUUAAUUUGUUCCUUCUUCCAAGUUCUUACAUAGUGUAUGUUCCUUUCUGUGUAGCGGAUUGGACUGGGCAGGGUGCUCUUUUGCUUUAAAGAUAGGAUAGGUGGAUGUAUUUGGUUUUAUGAUGGCCAGGUUGAUCAAAAUCACAUGGUCGUUUUUCAAGUUUGAGAAGAAAAAGACACUAGAACAGGUGAUUGAUCACAACCAUACUUUCAGAGAUUUAUAUUUGAACUUUUUCAGUUACAAUUAAAGGCAGAAUGUAGCAGUUGACAUUAUUUGUAAAUUAAUUCUCUGCAUUUAUGUAUGUGCUGAUGUAACUAACAUACAUCUAUACAUGGCUUUACUGAGCAUGAUCUUGCAUUUGCUACAGCCUGCUAUGGUCAAAAUGCCUGAACCUAAGCAUAUGCUACCACAGUACCUACGUUUCUCUGUAGAAAAGGUCAAGUGUAAUCCUUGGGCUACUGAAUUUUAGCCCCUUCACUGGUUAAACAAUGGUUAUCUACACGUUUAUGACUGAUGUUUCACAACGGAGGGAGUAUUUAGGAAUGCAUACAAGCAAUUCCUGUACGAAGCAACACCACAUAAGCUCUAUAUUUCAGAACAAGCAUUCUGCAUUUUCAGAGAUUAAUCUGUGUCGAUAUAUUCAGUGUUUAAGAAGGGCGAUCGAUGCGCUUUGGUGUGCAUGAUGACCAUACUUUAUCCGCCGCCGCCGCCACCGGAGGAAGGGCCCCUCCCGAGACCCGCUUCUCCCUCGAGUCAGGUCGUGUGGGCGCCAUCGUCGUCUUCUGCCUUCGGUGCGUGGCACCGCUGCAGGAGAGAGCGACGAGGAGGUCCAGCAGUCCGUGCCUUUGUCAUCGUGUGGCGCCAAAAGAAGGACGAGGAGGCGGAGCAGUUCGUGGUGUCUUCGUCAUCGCCGGCCGUGCUGGUGUGUUGUGCUCCUUUCCCUGCUCAGCCGCCUAUGCUACUCGACCACCACGGGAUACAAGUAUGGCCCUGCCAUGGCUGAGUGGAGGAUGAUCAGUUCGUCUGAAUUUUGCAAUUCUUCUUGGCCGUAGUUUUUAGGUAUUUUUGGCGAUCUAUGAUUUGUUCACUAUCUGGCCUCGUAUGAUGCGCCUUCCCGUGUUGACGUGGUGUGAUUGAUACGAUCUCGUGGCCGGUGGCUGAUAUCCCGGGCAGAUUCAGCUGAUACUGGUUUGGUAGGGUGAGAAAAACUGCGUAGUACACAUGCUAUAUAUGUGCUCGCAGUAUAGACAGAACGGUGGAUGUUUCUGAGCUACUGUGAUUUUGCAUGCUACUUCGAUUAGGAAGUGAGUACGGAGCAUACAAGGGUUUGUCGGCGUGCUAAUUUUGACAUUGACUUAUCCUUGAGGGCCAUACUGGUUUGCUUGUUGGCAUGUAUUUUUAUCAAGCGAGUGAAAG